CCUACGGGUGGCAGCAGUGAGGAAUAUUGGUCAAUGGGCGCGAGCCUGAACCAGCCAAGUCGCGUGAGGGAAGACGGUCCUAUGGAGUGUAAACCUCUUUUGUCGGGGAGCAAAAGACGCCACGCGUGGCGUUCCGAGAGUACCCGAAGAAAAAGCAUCGGCUAACUACGUGCCAGCAGCCGCGGUAAUACGGAGGAUGCGAGCUGUAUACGGAGUUAUUGGGGUUACAGGGUGCGCAGGCGGAAGAUCAAGUCAGCGGUAAAAUUGAUAGGCUCAACCUCUUCGAGCCGUUGAAACUGGUUUUCUUGAGUGAGUGAGAAGUAUGCGGAAUGCGUGGUGUAGCGGUGAAAUGCAUAGAUAUCACGCAGAACUCCGAUUGCGAAGGCAGCAUACCGGCGCUCAACUGACGCUCAUGCACGAAAGUGUGGGUAGCGAACAGGAUUAGAUACCCUUGUAGUC
rnacentral:rRNA from 1 species